rnacentral:lncRNA from 1 species
AUUGAACUAAAAACAAAAAGCAAUGUAAAAAAAUAUAAUAUGGUCUAAAAGUGAAUAGCAUUAUUCAUGAUUAAACCUAAAAACAAUGCAACGCCCAAAUCAAAUUCCACUAUUAGAAGAACCAUGUGUUGAGCAUAUUAAUAAUAGUAUUGAAAAUAGUAAAUUGGUGCUAUGUAUAUGUCUUAGUGAAAAGGAAUUAUCAUCGUUAGUAAGUCCCUCCUGUUUUUAUUUACAUGUCUAUCGGUAUAUGUAUUUGUAUAAUCUUAUUCCCAAGUGCUUAGAAUAUUUCAGAUCGUUUCUUCUUCCUUUUUAUGGUCGUAAAAUUGGGUUGUAUUUUGAGUGUGUCAACAAUAAAAGGGAAAAUAAAGGGGUUCAAAAUGAAAUUCAAAAUGAAAGUUUGUAUGGUGCAGUAAUUGGUAGUGGUAGUGUUAGUAGUAGUUGUAGUAAUAGUGAUAAACAAACCACUGACAAUAACAAAUUAGAAAAUAAAUACUUUAAAGAAAUAGCAAACGAAGAAACAAUACUACUUGAUUGGAGAUUACCUAUAGGAGUACUAUUUGAUAUAUAUUGUGAUGUGGAAGAUAAUAGUUUUAGUUUUCUUGAAAUUGAAAAAGAAGCUGAACAUGAUUGGAGAUUAUGUUUAAACAAUUAUGAAUUAUUUCCUGAAUAUGUUAAUAUUUUAAAAGUGGAAUCAGAUAAAAAUGAAGACUAUGUUCAUAAUUUAAAAGUAACUAACGAUAAUAAGAAAAACAAGAAUAAGUCGUUAAGUAAUCCUAGCGAUGCAGAUUCAUUUGAGCAUAGCUUAAAAUCUGAGGAAGUUUCGAAUAAUACACGAGACAGUUCCAUUACUGGAAACAUAAAUAAUUAUAGCAAGAGUUACAACGAUACAAAAAUAUAUAAUUAUAAUAGUAGUCGUAGUGAUAGUUACCAUACUAAUAUCAAAAGCGAAGCGAAUAGCUACGUAAAUGUAGUCGAUCUUCCUAUUAAAGAACCUGAACAUGUCAGAAAAAAAAAAAAUAACGCAUCAGAUGAUUCAGACACUCAUUUACCAAGCGUAAAAGAAAUGCAUAAUGAAGCAAAAAACGAACAACAUACAGGAAAUACAAAAUGGUAUACACUUAUACCGGCUAAACAUAUAAAUAAUGAUUGGCUUGAAAAACAGUUUUUAAAAAUAUCGAGUAAAAACAUACCUUGGAAGAUUAUAGUCCAUAUUAAAAAGGAAGAGGAUAAGGAAAGAGAGGGUGGAGGGGGGAAAACAAAUGUAGAAAAAGCAAAUGUAGAAAAAGCAAAUGUAGAAAAAGCAAAUGUCGAAAAGGGUGUAAAAAGAGGAGUUAACAAAACAGAUAAGCACGAAGACAACCGAAACGACAAAAUAUUAACUAUACAAACAAAAUGUCAUGAUUUGAAAAAAGAAAAGAACAAUUGCAUAUUAUUAUACACAUGCUUCAAUGAUAUAGAAGAUCAUAUACUAAAUCAGUUGAAAAGAGCAAAUUAUAUUUUACAUAAAAAUAAUAGAAUAUUAAAUAUAUUACCAUCAGAAAUAGAGAAACAAAUUUUAUUUUAUUUAAAAAUUUUUAACAUUAAUAAAAUAUGUGCUUUAUAUAGAACACAUUUGGAUUAUAACCUGAUCAAAUUUAUUAAUUAUUUUAACUGUAAGUUUAGUACAAGCGAUGACGAUGUUUGUGAUAAUAUAUAUGAGGGGUGUGUCUACGUGGGUGGUAUAACUAGCCAAAAGGAAAAACGAACAAGAGGGUGUAUAAAUGAUAAGGAAAGCAAUGAAAAUAGAAAAAAAAUAGAUGAAGAUAGUUGUUUAAGAGGGCGUACAAUAAAAGGUGAUAGUACUAAUUUCGAAGGUUACACAAGUAGAAAGAAUGGAAGUAGUAGCAAAAACGGAGGUAGUGACAGCGGAGGUAGCAAAAACGGAAGCACCAAUUUAAAUAAUGAAAAAAAAAAAAUACACGAACAUGCGUUUCACACACAAAAAAAUAAUUAUAGUCCUAAAAUAAACAAUGAUAAGUAUAAUAUUAUGAAAGAUGAAAAAUUGUUUAAAUACAUACCAAUUAUUAUGCAUAUAUAUGGACCACCAUAUAAUAAAGUACAAACAAAAUUUCCUUUAUUUGAAAUAAAAUAUGAAAACAAUAAAUCUAAUGUUAUAACAAGUAUUCAUGUAAACACUUUAGGUGAUUUUUUACAUCAACAAUUUCCUGAGUUUGUAAAAGUUGUAAAAGAUAAAUUAUGUAUGUUGAAAAAACAAAAUGUGAGUAAAGGUGAACAUGAGGAAAUGAUAGGAGCGGAUGACACGGAAAGAAUAAAAAAAUAUCCAAUAGACAAAGUAGUUACUUUUCCUCCUUCACAAACUAAUAAACAGAACUUGAUAAUAUUAAAAGAAAAUGAACAGAAUAUAAAUAGUAUAUCGUUAAUAAAAACAGAAAACGAUGUUACUAAUAAACAUAUGAAUCCAGAAAUUAAUAAAAAAAUGUAUAACUAUUUAAAAAAUGAAAAGGUUUUUUAUUUUUUCGAAAAUGAUUAUUUAAUUUUUAGCGCUUAUAUGUUUAUUAUCAUAAAUGGUAUACAAAUUCCUUUAAAAACUCCACUAUACUGGUUAACAUCGAAUUUUACUCAGUUCGAUAAUUUUCUUCAUAUAAUUAUGCGUAUACCCCCUUAUUAAUUGUGUGUUAAGUUAGUCGAAUAAAUUGUGUGUAUAUAAUACUGCUUUGGGGAUA